UACGUAGAGUGCAAGCGUUGUCCGGAAUUAUUGGGCGUAAAGGGUACGCAGGCGGAUAAUCAAGUCAAGCGUGAAAGGUGUCGGCUUAACCGACAGACUGCGUUUGAAACUGGUUAUCUUGAGUGUAACAGAGGAGAGUGGAAUUUCUAGUGUAGUGGUGAAAUACGUAGAUAUUAGGAAGAACACCAGUGGCGAAGGCGACUCUCUGGGUUAACACUGACGCUGAGGUACGAGAGCUGGGGGAGCGAACGGG
rnacentral:rRNA from 1 species